UUGUGGUGGUCACAGCACCGGGGAAACGCCCAGCAACAUUCCGAACCUGGAAGCUAAGCCCGGCCGCGCCAAUGGUACUGCACCCCAGGGGGUGUGGGAGAGUAGGAAACCGCCACAA
rnacentral:rRNA from 1 species